rnacentral:rRNA from 1 species
UCGUAUAGCAGUCAUGCAGGCAAAACCGCAUGAAAAAUGUAAAGCGUUAUGUGGAUCGAACAUUAGUAGAGAAGCGUGUGAGCCAGCUGCCAAGAAAAGCCGCUAUUGUUUCAUAAGUACCCGUACCGUAAACCGACACAGGUGGAUGAGGAGAGAAUCCUAAGGCCGGCGGGAGAAGUGUUGUUAAGGAACUCGGCAAAAUGACUCCGUAACUUCGGGAGAAGGAGUGCCACAGAGAUGUGGCCGCAGAGAAAUGGCCCAAGCAACUGUUUAGCAAAAACACAGGUCUAUGCAAAACCGAAAGGUGAGGUAUAUGGGCUGACGCCUGCCCGGUGCUGGAAGGUUAAGAGGAGAGGUUAGAGCAAUCGAAGCUUUGAAUUUAAGCCCCAGUAAACGGCGGCCGUAACAAUAACGGUCCUAAGGUAGCGAAAUUCCUUGUCGGGUAAGUUCCGACCCGCACGAAAGGCGUAAUGAUUUGGGCACUGUCUCAACAACACACCCGGUGAAAUUGAAAUACCAGUGAAGAUGCUGGUUACCUGCGCCAGGACGGAAAGACCCCAUGGAGCUUUACUCCAGUUUGAUACUGGGAUUCGGUACUGUCUGUACAGGAUAGGUGGGAGGCUAGAAAAUGUGACGCCAGUUGCCAUGGAGCCAACCUUGGGAUACCACCCUUACAGUACUGGGUUUCUAACCUGCAGCCGUAACCCGGCUGGGGGACAAUGUCUGACGGGGAGUUUGACUGGGGCGGUCGCCUCCGAAAGAGUAUCGGAGGCGCUCAAAGGUUCCCUCAGAACGGUUGGAAACCGUUCGAAGAGUGCAAAGGCAGAAGGGAGCUUGACUGCGACACCGACGGGUGGAGCAGAUACGAAAGUAGGACUUAGUGAUCCGGUGGUAUAAAGUGGGAUUGCCAUCGCUCAACGGAUAAAAGCUACCCUGGGAUAACAGGCUUAUCACUCCCAAGAGUUCACAUCGACGGAGUGGUUUGGCACCUCGAUGUCGGCUCAUCGCAUCCUGGAGCUGUAGCAGGUUCCAAGGGUUGGGCUGUUCGCCCAUUAAAGCGGUACGCGAGCUGGGUUCAGAACGUCGUGAGACAGUUCGGUCCCUAUCCGGCGUGGGCGUAGGAUAUUUGAGAGGAGCUUCCUUAGUACGAGAGGACCGGGAUGGACAAACCUCUGGUGUAUCUGUUGUUUUACCAAAGGCAUGGCAGAGUAGCCAAGUUUGGCAGGGAUAAACGCUGAAGGCAUCUAAGCGUGAAGCCCCCCUCAAGAUAAGAUAUCCCAUCUUCGGAGUAAGACCCCUUGAAGACUACAAGGUUGAUAGGCUUCAGGUGUAAGUGUGGUAACGCACUCAGCUGAGAAGUACUAAUAGGUCGAGGACUUAUAAUA